rnacentral:rRNA from 1 species
ACGACUGCUAAUACCGGAUGAUGACGUAAGUCCAAAGAUUUAUCGCCGAGGGAUGAGCCCGUGUAGGAUUAGGUAGUUGGUGUGGUAAAGGCGCACCAAGCCGACGAUCCUUAGCUGGUCUGAGAGGAUGAUCAGCCACACUGGGACUGAGACACGGCCCAGACUCCUACGGGAGGCAGCAGUGGGGAAUAUUGGACAAUGGGCGAAAGCCUGAUCCAGCAAUGCCGCGUGAGUGAUGAAGGCCUUAGGGUUGUAAAGCUCUUUUACCCGGGAUGAUAAUGACAGUACCGGGAGAAUAAGCUCCGGCUAACUCCGUGCCAGCAGCCGCGGUAAUACGGAGGGAGCUAGCGUUAUUCGGAAUUACUGGGCGUAAAGCGCACGUAGGCGGCUUUGUAAGUAAGAGGUGAAAGCCCAGAGCUCAACUCUGGAAUUGCCUUUUAGACUGCAUCGCUUGAAUCAUG